rnacentral:rRNA from 1 species
GUGGGGAAUAUUCCGCAAUGGACGAAAGUCUGACGGAGCAACGCCGCGUGAGUGAUGAAGGUUUUCGGACUGUAAAGCUCUGUUGUUUAGGACGAAAGUGCCUGUUGCAAAUAGUUACAGGUAUUGACGGUACUGAACGAGGAAGCCACGGCUAACUACGUGCCAGCAGCCGCGGUAAUACGUAGGUGGCAAGCGUUGUCCGGAAUUAUUGGGCGUAAAGAGCAUGUAGGCGGGAAUCUAAGUCUGUUGUGAAAAUGCGGGGCUCAACCCCGUAUUGCGAUGGAAACUGGGUUUCUUGAGUGCAGGAGAGGAAAGGGGAAUUCCCAGUGUAGCGGUGAAAUGCGUAGAUAUUGGGAGGAACACCAGUAGCGAAGGCGCCUUUCUGGACGAAAACUGACGCUGAGGCGCGAAAGCCAGGGGAGCGAACGGGAUUAGAAACCCUUGUAGUCC